GACGAACGCUGGCGGCGUGCUUAACACAUGCAAGUCGAACGGAAAGAGAUGAAAGAGCUUGCUCUUUUAUUAAUUUCAGUGGCAAACGGGUGAGUAACACGUAAACAACCUGCCUUAAGGAUGGGGAUAACAGACGGAAACGACUGCUAAUACCGAAUACGUUCUAAGCAUCGCAUGGUGCAUAGAAGAAAGGGUGGCCUCUACAAGAAAGCUAUCGCCUUAAGAGGGGUUUGCGACUGAUUAGGUAGUUGGUGAGGUAACGGCUCACCAAGCCGACGAUCAGUAGCCGGUUUGAGAGGAUGAACGGCCACACUGGAACUGAGACACGGUCCAGACUCCUACGGGAGGCAGCAGUGGGGAAUCUUCCGCAAUGGACGAAAGUCUGACGGAGCAACGCCGCGUGAACGAAGAAGGUCUUCGGAUUGUAAAGUUCUGUGAUUCGGGACGAAAGGGUUUGUGGUGAAUAAUCAUAGACAUUGACGGUACCGAAAAAGCAAGCC
rnacentral:rRNA from 1 species